AAAAGCAUUACAAUCCAUGAAGAAUAUUUCUACACUAGAGAUAAAAAUAAAACAAGGAGUUAAAAUGUAAAAACUCAAUGGAAAAGCUACUUGAAAGAGGUGAUUAAUUUGGCUAUCAACAGUGAUCAUCCUUUCCUCCAAGUUAAUUUUAAUAACAGCCAUCCUAACAGAAUGAAGAAGAAAAGAAGAAUGUUUGCAAAUAACACUACAAAAAUUUGUCACUAGCCCAUCUGCAUUACAAGAAGUGCUAAAGGAACUUGUUCAGUAUGAAGAAAAUGAUACCCAAUGAAAGCUUGUAUGUUCAGGAUGGAAAGAAGAGAAUAAAAAAUGAAUCUAGGGAAAGAAAAGGGCAACCAGCAUGCCUGCUCCCUAUGUAUGAGGAUAUAGAGAAGAACUCAUGGAAACUGGAAAAACUGAUGCUUGGAGAUACAUCAGACAUCUGGACUGGAGCAGUCAAUGAACCUUGUUCCAAAGACACGACUGCAUGGGUCUUUCCUGUAUAGAGUUCCAGAACAUAUUAAAAUAGAGACAAAAAGGAAAUAAGGA